GUCUAGACCAGGCUUCCCCAAACUCCAGCCCUCCAGAUGUUGCUGAACUACAACUCCCAUGAUUCUAUAAAUGAAAUAGGCUGAGAAUCAUGGGAGUUGUAGUUCAGCAACAUCUGGAGGGCCGGAGUUUGGUGAAACCUGGUCUAGACAGACAGUCUGCAAGCAGUUGGCUUAGCCAAACUGACGAUAACAGGGUUAUUUACUAAACUGAGAAUUGUGGGGGACUCAAAGUGAAUUUCAAAUUGAAGGCCACUGUCAGAACUUACCGCUACUCCAAUUC